rnacentral:lncRNA from 1 species
UUGAAUAUCAGUAGUGAAAGUGGGUCUUCCAUUUUUUCCUGACUUUAAUGGGAAUAUCUCUUAUGUUUUAUCGUUAAGUAUAAAUUUUUGGUAAGUGCCUUUUAUCAAGUUGUUACAUACCUAUUCCCAUUCUGCUAAAAGUGUUUUCUUUUAAAUCAAAGUAGAUAUCGGAAUUUUUUCAGAAAACAUUUUAUCAGUUGAGAUGAUCAUAUAAUUUAAAACCUCUACAACUAUUUAAUACAAUGAUUUAUAGCAACAGGUUUUCUAAUGUUAAAUCAUUUCUGGGAUAGACCCUUUCUUGUUCUAGAUGGAGUGCAGGAUUGAAUUUACUAAUAUUUUAUUUUAGAGCUUUGUAUCCAUGUGAGUUUGGUGAGUUUAGAACUGAAAGGAUGCAGCUACAAGCCAAAGAAUGCCAAAGAUUGCUGGACAGCACCAGAAACUAGGAAGAGACAAGCAAGGAUUUUAACCCGAGUCUCAGGGGAGCAUGGCCCUGCUGACACUAUUUCAGACUUCUAGCCUUCAGAACUGGGAGAGAAUAAAUAAGUUUUAAGCCGCGUAAGUUGUGGGACUUGGGUAUGGCAGCCCUAGGAAAUUAAAGCGGCAAUUUUAAUUUCUAACUUAUCUUCCUAGCGCCAACAGUGCCAUGUCCACGGUCCAGUUGGGGGCCGUGCAGGCGCUCCAUCCCUUCCCUGCUACAGGGAUGAUGGGCGGGCAGCAGCAGAGGCCGUCAGGAGUCACCAGCCGCUUGUGAGCCCCUGCCGUCAGAGGACGUGCAGCCAAAGCCCAACCAGGGGUUGCCAUUACGACAGAGAGACCCGGGGCUGCACAGAUCACCGAAGGCAGCGAGAUGCUCAAUACAACGCGGGGCGGCCGGGAGACGGGGCCUCGAGGCCCCCGAGGACGCCCGUGGGGGACGGAGGGAAGUUUUUGAGGACCCUGAGUCUGCAAGCCGCUCUCCAGACCACGCUGAACGGCUCCCACACCUGUCCCCAGCUCCACGGCCACCUGUGCCCAGCUCCACGGCCACCGCCCCGACGCUCCUCCAAGUGACCCCAAGAGACUGCGGGCGCCCCACCUACUGACCAGUGACCGCGCGACGCUCUCGAGCCCGCGCGCGCCGCCUCCGCACCUCCCGCCGCAGUACGCAGUUGCGAGGGGCGGAACUUCCUCCCCACGUCCCGGAAACCGGAAGAGACUCUUUUUCCGCCGGAAGGAGAGCGGAGCUGCGAGGGUGGUGAGACCCGGGAGGGUCGGCUUUGUCGCGUGGGGUAUAUGAGCUCUUUGAAAGCAGAGUGCUGUCGUUGCCAUGUUCCAAUCAUUCAGAGGUUACGAAGGCACAGUUCCUGCCUUUGAUUUGCUUAACAGUCGAGUGGAGUAGAGGCAGGUCAUUGGUUGCAGUACAGCCUCUUAAGUGUGCCAAAAGAGAUUUAUCAGCAGGUUGCAGGUGAACAUGGCUUUGAGACUUAUUUUUUCUUCUUCUAGAAGAUGAGAAACAUAUUUAAACAAAGGUUCUUCAUGCUGAAUAAUUGUGAUGCAAGGUCAUCUGCCUUGUUUAAAUUAAGUGGAUUUUAAAUGUCAAAACUAAUUCUAGACCGUUUUUUCUUGGUCAAAUAAACUUUUAUUAAAACUUUAUAUGUGCUGAGUUUUUAUCCAUUUUAUU